rnacentral:rRNA from 1 species
UACGAGGGGUGCAAGCGUUGCUCGGAAUUAUUGGGCGUAAAGGGUUGGUAGGUGGUCUUGUUUGUCUAAGGUGAAAUCCCAGGGCUUAACCCUGGAAGUGCCUUAGAAACGGCAAGACUAGAGUCCUAGAGGGGUUUGUGGAAUUCCCGGUGUAGCGGUGAAAUGCGUAGAGAUCGGGAGGAACACCAGCGGCGAAGGCGGCAAACUGGAUAGGCACUGACACUCAACAACGAAAGCGUGGGGAGCAAACAGG